UGAGUAAAACUCUUAGCCCGUGUUCCCUCUCUUUUCGGCAGAUGAUAUUGCCUGAGAGCACACAACUUCCCAACUGAGAACUCCCGGGUGAUGCAUUGUGUGAAAAUUCAGCUGGAAUGGAACGCCUCUGUUAGCAGGCUUUAGCUCCGAUUGGGUUUUUUUUCCCAGGUCGAGUCGAUCGGGACCUGAACUUGGUGUUCAGUGGCGAGCCAGUUUAAAGUGAAGGUUUGACUGUGGAGAAACCAGCAACGCGGUGUGGCCAGCCGCAGGAUCCCUCUGCAGAACACAGCAUCAUCGAUCCCCUCUUUACUCACAGACAGAUAAGAUUGACACUCAAAAAUCUACCUGGGUACUUCGAACACAGACAUUACAAGAACACACACACUCAUACACAAGGAACCUUUGCUUCUUUCCAUAAAGGAGCAGUGCGCAUUGGGCAUUGAACUCUUUAAUUCUUUCGAGGAGACCUCCAAAGAGGGCAUUCUUAUUUAAAGUUUUAUUUUAUUUAUUUUGGGCCCAUUUAUUGUGCAUAUGUGCAUACUAGGAAGCCGGCUUAGGUAGGCAGGGUCUGUAAUUUCAUGUUUGUUGUUUGGUGGACAAUACACCUCAAUUCAAAUCAUCCAGUUGUGUGUGUGUGUGGUAUCUCUGCUGACACAGGCUUUCAGGCUCUGCAGUCGUUCCUGGAUCUUACUGACACUGGCGUAGUAUUAAACCAUCAUCGGUAUACUUACCUGUGGUGACCGUUACAUUUGACUUGAAAAUCAAACCUCAUUGUUGUCAAAACAGCAAAAUGAUAAAGUUGUGUGUGUUAAAAGGAGUGGACUGAGAUUGUACGCAUUAUUUAAGAUCAAAACAACAUAUGCACAGUUAACAAGGCAACAGACUCAGACUACAGCAGAUAAUAAGUUUGAACAAGAAUAACUACAUCUGUCUGAACUUACGUUGAAGGUGAAGAACAGACAUGAAAUAUUAAAAAAGUCUUG